rnacentral:rRNA from 1 species
GACGAACGCUGGCGGCGUGCUUAACACAUGCAAGUCGAACGGAAAGGCCCUGCUUUUGUGGGGUGCUCGAGUGGCGAACGGGUGAGUAACACGUGAGUAACCUGCCCUUGACUUUGGGAUAACUUCAGGAAACUGGGGCGAAUACCGGAUAGGAGCUCCUGCUGCAUGGUGGGGGUUGGAAAGUUUCGGAGGUUGGGGAUGGACUCGCGGCUUAUCAGCUUGUUGGUGGGGUAGUGGCUUACCAAGGCUUUGACGGGUAGCCGGCCUGAGCGGGUGACCGGCCACAUUGGGACUGAGAUACGGCCCAGACUCCUACGGGAGGCAGCAGUGGGGAAUAUUGCACAAUGGGCGGACGCCUGAUGCAGCAACCCCGCGUGCGGGAUGACGGCCUUCGGGUUGUAAACCGCUUUCGCAUGUGACGAAGCGUGAGUGACGGUAAUGGGUAAAGAAGCACCGGCUAACUACGUG